rnacentral:rRNA from 1 species
GUUGUAUGGUUAAGUGACUAAGCGUACACGGUGGAUGCCUUGGCAGUCAGAGGCGAUGAAAGACGUAGUAACUUGCGAUAAGCCCAGAUUAGGUAGUAACAACCAUUUGAGUCUGGGAUUUCUGAAUGGGGAAACCCACGUGCAUAAGCACGUAUCCUUACCUGAAUACAUAGGUUAACAGGGCGAACCGGGGGAACUGAA